CGAUAAAUAGUUUAUCGAUUAAGGUAACAUCACUUAAUGCUAUAAUAUUUUCACAAAAGAUAAAAUUUCAAAGUAUAGAAAAUUUACAGUACAGAAUAAAUCUAAAAUGUGUGAUCGCAUGGAUGCUAUUAAUAAAUUACAAACUGUUAUGUCCGCAAUUCGAGGCGGUUGCAGCGGAUGCCCAUCGCCCUGUAACUCCACCAGAAAUUGUACUCCGUGCUGCAGCGGAGGAUCUCUGGUCACAGUUUACAAUGCUGUGUUAGCUAUAGGCCAACCUCCUCGUCCUAUUGCUGCCUUUGACAAAGCUACUAUAGCGAUCGGUCAUCACGGUCGGAAUAUCAAAACCUAUUGAGACAAGUCGAACACGAGAAAUCAAAUUAUGUUGUUAAUGUUAUAAUGUCCUAGAAAUAUGUUCUGUGUUAGUGGCAAAAGUAGUAUAAUUUUGUGAAUCUGUGUAUUGUAUCUUGUUAAUAUUUGCAAAUUAGAAGACAUCUGCUGCAAAACCCUAUCUUGGAAACUUCAUUACCAAAGAGAAUAUAAUUGAUAUGUUUUAAUUGUUUAA